AUUGCUUCUAGGCCUUUUGCCUAAGAUCUAGUGUAGUAU
rnacentral:snRNA from 1 species